GUGUAGCGAGCGGGGGCGGUGGGGGGAGUGAGUAGGGUGUGAGGGGGAAUGUGGAUGCCUGGGGGGAAAGCGGGGGGAGGCGGUUGGGGAAGACAGGGAUGAGAUCCGCGGGCUUAACCUGGGAGUUGCGCUUGGGACUGCCAGGCUAGAGUACGGCAGAGGGGGGUGGAAUGCCACGUGUAGCAGUGAAAUGCGUAGAGAUGUGGAGGAACACCAAUGGCGAAGGCAGCCCCCUGGGUCGAUACUGACGCUCAUGCACGAAAGCGUGGGUAGCAAACAGGAUUAGAUACCCUAGUAGUC
rnacentral:rRNA from 1 species